CAUUUUUUUAGAAAGGGAAUAACACAUAUUGGUUGUUUUCAUGGUAUUAGCCACCUCUAUUGUGUGUCUCAAUCAUUUAAAUUUUGGGCAUUGUACUAUCAUGGAUCAGUUUUGCAAUAAAUUGGUAGAAGUUUUUGCCCCCAAGAAUAUAAUGAGAAAUAUUUGCCGCAACUAAACUUUGCUGAGCAUGUCUAUUAACACUUUCCUCUUCUCCUAUUAGAUGUAAUGAUGUAGACCAAAGCAACCCUCAUGUAUAUUGAUACUAUACUAGAAGGCCACUGAAGAAUUUUACAGAACAAGAGAAGAUGGCGUGCACCAUAUCUUUAAGAUGACUUCCCUCACCAUGUGGCAUGCACUUUUCGGUUUUACUUUAGCGCAAUUGCCAUGUAUGUAAGGGAUGCAAUUAGGCUGAAUAUUGCAAUUGUAGUUUUUUCUAAACUUUUUCAACAUCCCAGCAUUAGUAAAAUACUCCCCCCAUUCCAUAAUGUAAGACUUUUUUGCAAGUUAUAUGUUUGUACAUUAUAUUGCUGGAAAUCAAGAAUUUACUCUUUUUGACUAAUAUUGUGUUUUAAUAGUCCAUUUCCUUUGUUUCAAAGGGUUGCGAUAGUGAAUAAAGCAAGAGCAACACCUUGUUUGUCG
rnacentral:lncRNA from 1 species